GCCCGUUACACAUUGGUAUAAACUAAAAGAUGGUGAAUUUUGUCUACGAAAAGUUUUUGUCCCUUCAAAAACCAGCUCUCAUGAAUUUGUCUACGAAUUUUAGAUAUAAAUUUAUAGGAAGAAACUAUCACCAAAAGCCAAAGCAUGGUUGAACAAAACUACUCAUUCAUCACUCCUCUCCAACGACUGUUCCCUUUUCGCUGACAUAAAUACCAUCAAGGAACUUCCGGAUAUCUUUGUUCUUCACAUGG
rnacentral:misc_RNA from 1 species